AAUUUGCUGAAGAUGGAGGCUGCUGCUGAAACACUACCCCAAGGCCCUCCGUCAUGCACUGGAAAAGUUCCCCAGUAAACCCAUGCCAGAACAAUAAUUGUAAAUUUAAGUACAUUACAUUAAUCUACAGUAACCACAUAAUGACAACAAGUUUCUCAAGUUCCUGAAAUCUCACUAAUUCUUUAAGUGCCGAUACUGAACCCAUUAAUUUCUUAGAGCCUUCCAGUCUUGGAUCAACAAGCUUCGAAGGCUCUGAUGACAGAGACUCAUCUUUGGCCAAUGGCUGACCCCCAAAUG
rnacentral:lncRNA from 1 species